GGGGAUGUACUGGUUUCGACGGGGGUAGGUGCGGUAUGAUAAGCGAGCCGUGGUUCCAUCUGCACGAUAAUCGGUGGGCACGUUUAAAUAUAAACGCUGAACAAGAAUACGCUUUAGCAGCUUAAUCUGCUAACUGUCUCUGAGCCUCCUCCCGCGGGUGAGGAAUGACAGUCAAUAGUGGGAUACCUUAAGGCUGAUUCCUAUAGGCUUUAAGGGAAACUCUGUAGGAUAGCAAUGUGAAGGCCCGUCGUCAGGCAAUCGCAGCGCGAAACAAAGUAUGACGUCUGCGCUCGGAGAAAGUUGUAUGGCAAUAUUUUCGGACAGGGGUUCGACUCCCCUCAUCUCCACCA
rfam:Phascolarctobacterium sp. YIT 12067 genomic scaffold Scfld257, whole genome shotgun sequence.